rnacentral:lncRNA from 1 species
AAAGUUUGUAAAAAGAUUACUCAGUUUUUUCUGUAAUUUACUUUUAAAUGGACUUAGAUUUUCUUGCAAUCAUAAAAUAGUACAUGUAACAAGAGGAAUAUUUUUAUUGAUUUUUUCCCUCAUUGUUGUUGAGUCUGCAAUUUACAGCAAAAAUAGGCGAGACACUGGGUUCCGCGGAACCCUUACAAAUUUUUUUUGUAAGAAU